rnacentral:rRNA from 1 species
AUACGUAGGGUGCGAGCAUUGUCCGGAAUUAUUGGGCGUAAAGAGCUCGUAGGCGGCCUGUUGCGUCGGAUGUGAAAGCCCGGGGCUUAACCCCGGGUCGGCAUUCGAUACGGGCAGGCUAGAGUUCGGUAGGGGAGAUCGGAAUUCCUGGUGUAGCGGUGAAAUGCGCAGAUAUCAGGAGGAACACCGGUGGCGAAGGCGGAUCUCUGGGCCGAUACUGACGCUGAGGAGCGAAAGCGUGGGGAGCGAACAG